GGGGUACCGGUAGAAAACUUUGAGGCUCAAGUUAGUAUCAGUGUGAGGGAAAGAUCCAUGAGUAUCAAUGCUUGAAUGAAAAACAUGUUUCGUAAAUGAACGAGAAAACUUGUAUUUAUAAGAUUGAAAUCCAUACUGGUUGUCUCUACAAGUGUGAAAGAAGUCCUUUAAGUGAGACUUUCGAGAAAGAGAUAGUCUUUGGUUGUCUCGCAUUGAGUUCUCUAUGCCUCAGUCCUUUGCUGACUGAUUGGUCAUGGCGAGUCGUUCAGCCUGUCAUUCGAGUGCUUAGGUGCACGUCUUUUGGUCAGUUGAGAGGUUGAAGGCUCGACGACUUCGUAGCUGGCCGGAAAGGAGCUCCCAACAUAGCCUGUCAAACUUUGGUAUGUCAAACUUAGGGCGUAAGUUGCUUGACCCUUUUGUUAUGGUCUUCAAUCUAUUUUCUUACCAUAACUCCUCAUUCCGUUCGGCCUCUUUACGGAAACAAAAUGAUAUCUAUUUUCACUAUUUGCUUUUCUUCUUUGAAUAAUCAAUCAUUGCCUCUUUAGGGGAGAAACCGUAAAGCCCAGUAUAUAACUUUCAGAGAGUAAACCGUAAACUCAUUCUUCCCCUUC
rnacentral:lncRNA from 1 species